AUUGAACGCUGGCGGCAUGCUUUACACAUGCAAGUCGAACGGUAACAGGGUGCUUGCACCGCUGACGAGUGGCGAACGGGUGAGUAAUGCGUCGGAACGUGCCGAGUAGUGGGGGAUAACGCAGCGAAAGUUGUGCUAAUACCGCAUACGUACUGAGGUAGAAAGUGGGGGACCUUCGGGCCUCACGCUAUUCGAGCGGCCGACGUCUGAUUAGCUAGUAGGUGAGGUAAAGGCUCACCUAGGCGACGAUCAGUAGCGGGUCUGGGAGGAUGAUCCGCCACACUGGGACUGAGACACGGCCCAGACUCCUACGGGAGGCAGCAGUGGGGAAUUUUGGACAAUGGGCGAAAGCCUGAUCCAGCCAUGCCGCGUGCAGGAUGAAGGCCUUCGGGUUGUAAACUGCUUUUGUACGGAACGAAAGGGCUUGGCCUAAUAAGCUGAGCUCAUGACGGUACCGUAAGAAUAAGCACCGGCUAACUACGUGCCAGCCGCCGCGGUAA
rnacentral:rRNA from 1 species